UAGGAACCAAAAUCGUUAAACUUAUUCACACUCAAAUUCAAAGUAAUCGAAGUUGAAAAGAAAAGAAAACCAAUCUCCAACAAUGUCGGAAUCAUGCACAAGAUCGGUGAAACCCUUCACAUGGUUGACAAGAAGAGGAAGAGAAGCACCAGGGAGGAGGUCACCAUGAAGGCGGCCAGGGCCAAGCCUACACAUAUGGCGGCGGCGAGCACAAGGGAGAAGGUCAUUAUGGCACGGGCAUGACCGGAACAGAAUACAAGGGAGAGACCGGUCAUGGCCAUGGUUAUGGCACGGGCAUGACCGAACAGAAUACAAGGGAGACCGGUCAUGACCAUGGUUAUGCACGGGCAUGACAGGGGCAACGUACAUGGGAGAGGCUGGUCAAGGCCAUGCCUAUGGCGAGCACAAAGAAGGCUUAAUGGAUAGAUCAAGGACAAGAUCCAUGGCGACGGUACCACGGACAUGGUCAGGAGGGCGAGAAGAGAAGAAGGAGAAGAAGAGGCAUGAAGGUGGUCAUGACAGCAGCAGCGACAGUGAUUAGACCUUCACUCCCCGUGGUAUCCGGUGCAUGGGAUGAAUGGAUGGCUUGUGAUAUGCUUUUACUUUGUGAAAAAAGAAAAAAAAAUACAUAUUAUAGUAAUACUGUGUGAUGUAUUUUGGCAUGCUAUGAAUGAAAUAUGAUAUGAGAAUAAAUAUUUACUUUAU